UACAGAGGUCCCAAGCGUUGUUCGGAUUCACUGGGCGUAAAGGGUGCGUAGGUGGUUGGGUAAGUUUGAUGUGAAAUCUCCGGGCUUAACCCGGAAACUGCAUUGAAUACUAUCUGGCUAGAGGGUUGGAGGGGGGACUGGAAUACUUGGUGUAGCAGUGAAAUGCGUAGAUAUCGGGAGGAACACCUGUGGCGAAGGCGGCCCCCUGGUUGGAUACUGACGCUGAUACGCGAAAGCGUGGGGAGCGAACAGG
rnacentral:rRNA from 1 species